rnacentral:tRNA from 1 species
GUAGACAUAGUUUAAAGAAAAUAUUAGAUUGUGAUUCUGAAGACAGGGGUUAAAGCCCCCUUGUCCACC